CUUUGGCCAUGCCACUGGUUGUAAAUUCAUUUGAUCCUUGAGCCCUGUGAGGUAAGCUUAAGACCUGAGCUUGGUCUUGUUAGGCUAAGGUUUGGUAGUGAGUAGAAUGGUUAGAGGUGAACUGAAGACAGAAAUGGGCAGGAGGUGAUUGGGUUGAGAGGACUCUAGUGGUAACAUGCCUGGAGCAGAACUGUGAGACUUGCCCAGUGCCUACUGACACCAGGGAGGACGCGGGGCUGUGGAGUUCAGCUGGAGAUACACUAAAGUGGACUAGAUGCAGAGGCGGUGUUGUGAAUGGACCUUUGGGGCCUUCCAGCUAGUGAGGCCCUAUCAAUGCAGUGCCCCCUUCUCACAGGCCCUAAGAGACUCAGCCUUGUUUUCCUGGGCCUGUGCUGUGACCACUCAGUAUUCCAGUGGUUUAAAGUUCAGGCCUCAGGGCAGUAAUCUCAAACCUGUUCUAUCAUGUAUAUUUUUUGAACCUGUGUCCCAAGAUACGUGUUUUUAUUAAGUAUAAUAAUGCCUCAUUAUAUAUUGACUAAUAUAUAUCUCUUAAAACAGUGACCAAAAAAUUGAGCAUAUGGUGAGAUAGAUAAACUACACAAACUAACUUAUUUUUCAAAAAAUUUGGAUUACCUCUUGCACCCCACUUUUUUAGUCUCUGAUCCCAAGGGUCAUAUGUU
rnacentral:lncRNA from 1 species